rnacentral:rRNA from 1 species
GACGAACGCUGGCGGCGUGCCUAAUACAUGCAAGUAGAACGCACAGUUUAUACCGUAGCUUGCUACACCAUAAACUGUGAGUUGCGAACGGGUGAGUAACGCGUAGGUAACCUGCCUGGUAGCGGGGGAUAACUAUUGGAAACGAUAGCUAAUACCGCAUAAUAUUGAUUAUUGCAUGAUAAUUGAUUGAAAGAUGCUAUUGCAUCACUACCAGAUGGACCUGCGUUGUAUUAGCUAGUAGGUGAGGUAACGGCUCACCUAGGCGACGAUACAUAGCCGACCUGAGAGGGUGAUAGGCCACACUGGGACAGAGACACGGCCCAGACUCCUACGGGAGGCAGCAGUAGGGAAUCUUCGGCAAUGGACGAAAGUCUGACCGAGCAACGCCGCGUGAGUGAAGAAGGUUGUCGGAUCGUAAAGCUCUGUUGUAAGAGAAGAACGGGUGUGAGAGUGGAAAGUUCACACUGUGACGGUAUCUUACCAGAAAGGGACGGCUAACUACGUG